GCCUGGGUGGUUCAGUUGGUUGAGCAUCUGACUUCAGCUCAGGUCAUGAUCUCCCAGUUGGUGGGUUUGAGCCCCACCUUGGGCU
rnacentral:tRNA from 1 species